rnacentral:rRNA from 1 species
GAUGAACGCUAGCGGCAGGCUUAAUACAUGCAAGUCGAGGGGCAGCGCGGGUAGCAAUACCUGGCGGCGACCGGCAAACGGGUGCGGAACACGUACGCAACCUUCCCGAAACUGGUGAAUAGCCCUUCGAAAGGAGGAUUAAUACACCAUAACAUAAUGAAGUGGCAUCAUUUUAUUAUUAUAGCUCCGGCGGCUUUGGAUGGGCGUGCGACUGAUUAGGUAGUUGGCGGGGUAACGGCCCCCCCAGCCUGCGAUCAGUAACUGGUGUGAGAGCACGACCAGUCACACGGGCACUGAGACACGGGCCCGACUCCUACGGGAGGCAGCAGUAAGGAAUAUUGGUCAAUGGACGAAAGUUUGAACCAGCCAUGCCGCGUGAAGGAUGAAGGUCCUUUGGAUUGUAAACUUUUUUUAUUUGGGACGAAAAAAGGUCAUUCCUGACCACUUGACGGUACCAGAGGAAUAAGCACCGGCUAACUCCGUG